UAAGAGUUUGAUCCUAGCCCAGAACGAACGCUGGCGGCAGGCCUAACACAUGCAAGUCGAACGGAAUAAUUAAGCUUGCUUAUUUAUUUAGUGGCAGACGGGUGAGUAAUACAUGGGAAUCUACCUUUUAGCACGGAAUAGUUAGUAGAAAUAUUAAGUAAUACUGUAUAAUCCCCGAGGGGCAAAGAUUUAUCACUAUUAGAUGAGCCCAUGGCGGAUUAGCUUGUUGGUGAGGUAACUGCUCACCAAGGCUAUGAUCCGUAGCUGGUUUGAGAGAAUGUACAGCCACACUGGUAUUGAGAUACGGACCAGACUUCUAUGGAAGGCAGCAGUGGGGAAUAUUGGACAAUGGGCGAAAGCCUGAUCCAGCCAUGCCGCGUGAGUGAUGAAGGCCGCGAGGUUGUAAAGCUCUUUUAGCGAUGAAGAUUAUGACGGUAAUCGCAGAAUAAGUCCCGGCUAACUACGUGCCAGCAGCCGCGGUAAUACGUAGGGGGCUAGCGUUGUUCGGAAUUACUGGGCGUAAAGGGUGUGUAGACGGUGAUAUAAGUCCGGUGUUAAAACUAUGAGCUUAACUCAUAAGAUGCGCUGCGAAACUGUAUUACUUGAGUACGGAAGAGGAUAGUGGAAUUCCUAGUGUAGAGGUAAAAUUCGUAGAUAUUAGGAGGAACAUCAGAGGCGAAGGCGACUAUCUGGUACGUUACUGACGUUGAGACACGAAAGCGUAGGUAGCAAACAGGAUUAGAUACCCUGGUAGUCUACGCUGUAAACGCUGAAUGCUAUGCAUAGGGAUUUUGAUCCCUGUGUUGAAGCUAACGCAUUAAGCAUUCCGCCUGAGGAAUACGGUCGCAAGAUUAAAACUCAAAGGAAUUGACGGGGACCUGCACAAGCGGUGGAGCAUGUGGUUUAAUUCGAUGCAACGCGAAAAACCUUACCAAACCUUGACAUAUUCAUCGUAUCUCUCCGAAGGGAGGAGUCAGUUCGGCUGGAUAUUUACAGGUGUUGCAUGGCUGUCGUCAGCUCGUGCCGUGAGGUGUUAGGUUAAGUCCUCUAACGAGCGCAACCCCCAUCCUUAAUU
rnacentral:rRNA from 1 species